rnacentral:lncRNA from 1 species
UUUAAUUAGGAGGUAUUACAUCAAAUUGUAUUAGGUUUUGAUUCAGAAAUGUGACUUAGAGCUCAUGUCUGUCUAAAUCAGGGAAGUACCAAAUGUAAUUGAUUCUGAUUGUAAUGAAAAAAAUGAUUUCCUUUUUAUGUGAUUUGAUCCAAACUUGGAAAGUUUGGACAUUUUAGGGUUUUAGAGUUUUUUUGGACAAAACAAAAUAAUAAAAAAUAAAAAUAAAAUAUGGAAAUAAAAGGACUGUCCCAAUAAUAAUAAUAAUAAAACAAAAAUGAUUAGGUGACUAUUUUUUUUAAAAAAAAGACUAAACUAAGAAUGAUUAAAAAUAUUUAAUAAUAAUAAUAAAAUAAAGGAAAUGAAAAGAAUAAAGUAUUAG